GGAGUGAGUCAGGCGAUCGCUGGAGGUGGUUCCACUUCUGGAGGAAAGUCCGGGCUUCGCAGGGCACGGUGGUGGGUAACGCCCACCGUUCGCGAGAACAGGGAAAGUGCAACAGAAAGCAAACCGCCGAUGGCCCCUCUUUCCAGGGGGGAUCAGGUAAGGGUGAAACGGUGCGGUAAGAGCGCACCAGCGGAGCGGGUGACCGUUCCGGCUCGGUAAACCCCACCGGAAGCAAGAUCAAGCAGAGGGGAGACGGCUUGCCGUCACGGCUCGGCCCGGGCCGUUCGACUCUCGGGUAGAUCGCGUCGAGGUGUCUGGCAACAGGCAUCCCAGAGAAAUGAUCGUCCACGACAAAACCCGGCUUAUCGACUCACUCCGAUU
rnacentral:RNase_P_RNA from 2 species